AGAGUUUGAUCAUGGCUCAGGACGAACGCUGGCGGCGUGCUUAACACAUGCAAGUCGAACGGAGAUUUAGGAGAGCUUGCUCUCCGAAGAUCUUAGUGGCGGACGGGUGAGUAACGCGUAGGUAAUCUACCUCUGCAUCUGGGAUAACACUUCGAAAGGGGUGCUAAUACCGGAUACACUUAUGGACCGCAAGGUUUAUAAGGAAAGGAGACCUCUCCUUGGAAGUUUCUGUGUAGAGAUGAGCCUGCGUCCCAUUAGCUAGUUGGUAGGGUAAAGGCCUACCAAGGCGACGAUGGGUAGCGGGUCUGAGAGGAUGAUCCGCCACACUGGAACUGAAACACGGACCAGACUCCUACGGGAGGCAGCAGUGAGGAAUAUUGGACAAUGGGCGCAAGCCUGAUCCAGCGACGCCGCGUGAGUGAUGAAGGCCUUUGGGUCGUAAAGCUCUGUCAGCAGGGAAGAACGGCCGUGUGGUUAAUACCCAUGCGGAUUGACGGUACCUGCAGAGGAAGCACCGGCUAACUCCGUGCCAGCMGCCGCGGUAAUA
rnacentral:rRNA from 1 species